rnacentral:rRNA from 1 species
GUUGAUCCUGCCGGAGGUUACUGCUAUCGAGGUUCGACUAAGCCAUGCGAGUCGAAUGUAGCAAUACAUGGCGUACUGCUCAGUAACACGUGGACAACCUACCCUCCGGACGGGGAUAAACCCGGGAAACUGGGUAUAAUACCCGAUAGAUCUCGACUGCUGGAAUGCAUCGAGAUCGAAAGCUCCGGCGCCAGAGGAUGGGUCUGCGGCCUAUCAGGUAGUAGUGGGUGUAGCGUACCUACUAGCCUACGACGGGUACGGGUUGUGAGAGCAAGAGCCCGGAGAUGGAUUCUGAGACACGAAUCCAGGCCCUACGGGGUGCAGCAGGCGCGAAAACUUUACAAUGCCGGCAACGGCGAUAAGGGGACCUCGAGUGCCAGGUUACAAAUCUGGCUGUCGUGAUGCCUAAAAAGCAUUGCAUAGCAAGGGCCGGGCAAGACCGGUGCCAGCCGCCGCGGUAACACCGGCGGCUCGAGUGGUAACCGUUAUUAUUGGGUCUAAAGGGUCUGUAGCCGGCCGGAUAAGUCUCUUGGGAAAUCCAGCAGCUCAACUGUUGGGCUUUCAGGAGAUACUGUCUGGCUCGAGGCCGGGAGAGGUGAGAGGUACUUCAGGGGUAGGGGUGAAAUCUUGUAAUCCUUGAAGGACCACCAGUGGCGAAGGCGUCUCACCAGAACGGACCUGACGGCAAGGGACGAAAGCUAGGGGCACGAACCGGAUUAGAUACCCGGGUAGUCCUAGCCGUAAACGAUACUCGCUAGGUGUCGGCCACGGUGCGACCGUGGUCGGUGCCGUAGGGAAGCCGUGAAGCGAGCCACCUGGGAAGUACGGCCGCAAGGCUGAAACUUAAAGGAAUUGGCGGGGGAGCACCACAACGG